UCUCUCUGCCUCGUUGACCCUGAUCCCUGUCACCUGUGUUGCUCCCGCCCUGCUCGUUAGUCCGUGUGUACCUGGUGUUUCUGUCUUGUUUUCGUCAGGUCAUUGUAUGUGGUAUACAGUGUUCUUGUCGUGAGGAGAAGCGCUGUCUGGAUAUCUGCCUGAAACCUUGUCAACCUGUAUUUGGAUUUGUGUUCUCCCCUUGCCAUUGUGGAUUCUUUUGGAAUCAGCCACUGUUGGUGUUCCUGUUAUGAUGUCUACCUCCUCUUAUGUGACAAGAAAACAUCUGUUGCAAGGGGUUUAUCCUGGCCAGUGACUCAGCUCAGGACUCGCACAUCUUCCUCCGCGUUAGCCUGAGGCUCAGGCACUGACACAAUGCCAUUUAAUGAGAUGCCCAAGUCCACAAAAUAGACCAAGAUUGAAAUAUUGCUCCUGAUCCUGCGCCAGACCUUUCAGAGGAGGUUCCAUCUUCAAGUUGCUUUGUGAUUAGAGAAGCAAGUCUGAAUCAGAGAAUAUGGAAACUGGGCAGAUAUUUUCUGUAUUCAAAAGAUGGAACAGGACAGAGAACGCAUCCCACAGUAAACCUCUGAGGAUCUUUUGGGAACAGUCUGGACUCAAAAUCCCCCUCAGAUGUUUCAUGAUGCAGCCGGCUGGUCUUGGGCACAAACCUCCUGCUGAGAUCAACAUUUCAGUGAUGAAGAAGUCAAUGAGGUGUACCCUUCCUUCUCAGCUCCAGAGUGUGCAGGCCCUCCUGCCGACCCAGGGCAUGCUGCGUGCCGACUUUGUGGGCCAUCUCUGUAGCGGUGAUGUCAAUCUGGGCGUACUUGGUGGAGGUCUUUCCUGUCAAGAAACAAAAAGAGACCCUCUUUUAACUUCAGUUAUUUCAGAUGUGUCCUUACUCUGAAGCGGGAGAUGUGCAACAGCCCCCCGGGUGCUAGGACCUGGCUCCUGCAGCUCCAGCUCCAUGUAGUUGAGCUGCUUCUUGGAUAUGGGACUAACAGGAAUAUUCACGUAUGUCACGCCUUCACUGCGAGGCCUUUCAGGAAGUGGUGCCUCUGGGGGAAAAACGAACACUGCCCCUGUCAAUACAAGAGUAACAAGGUCUUAUAAGGUGCAUUGUGUAAGAAUUGACUACUCUCCACCAGAUGUUACAGACACAUGUUAGCUAGUUAGCUCAGCUAGCCGUGCAGCUAACUUAGCAGUCCUAUUAGCGGACUGAGUCCGGAAUGUUCACCAGAACCGGAGCCAGGCGAGCGGGCAACAGAACCAGGCUCCGCAGUCUCCCAGUGGACACAGCUGCACUGGGAUCGAACACAGCCUCCAAGACCAUCAGAGGCCAAUUUGACAACAGGGAAUACAGUACCAAGGUGAUUUACAGCGGCUCUGGCCAGGACUGACAAAAGAAUGCGUGCGGAGAAGCAAGCAAACUUUAAAGUGUGUCGGGCUACAACCCCCAAUAAUACCGCUAUCCCAGUGAACAGGCCAGGACUCUGACUUUGACAAAGGCAUGGCAGCUUCGGGAAAGGCAUCAAGCUGGAGAGGAGCGAGAGGGAGAUCAGGCAGUUUGUUAAGGACCAUAGGUGUACGAAUACUGCCUUUCUUUACACUCCGUGAGUUUUUUAUUAGACUAAAAAAGCCAAGAGAGCUUGCGUGCGAGUGGCAAAAUCACUGUUAAUCCUCUUUCAGCUGAUACUAUGGGUGGAGGCCUGAUCUAUACUAUCCGAUAAUGUCCCCUUGAGGUACAAAGUGGUAUUUCAAGACAGGACGAGCUUUUAUCUGGUUUUGGCUAGCAGGUUAACAUGCUAACUUCAGUAGAUAUCCUUGUAAUACAAUAUAUUUACAUAGGCAUGGGCGGUCCCUUGAAAAAGUCUAAAUAGACAAACAGAAUUCUCGGUUAGAGCCUCUAGCUACUAGUUAACCUGUUGAACUGACAGAACGCAAUAAUUAUUUAACUUUUAAACAUAAACUUAAGACAUGGCUAAAGACAAAUCAGACUUGUAGCCACUAGCAAUCCACCCACCUAUCUUCAGCACUUUACAUAAUCUUAAUGCCUUUACAUACUGUACUUCUGUCGUCACUUUUGUCAUGUAUUUAUAUAUUAUCUUGUGUUUAUGUAUUAUCUUGUAUUUUACCUUUUUCUUGCAGUACUUAUUUAGGCCCUAUGCUAGGGAUAUUGGCACUAAUUAGUUACAACCUGCUCAGGGACUAUGGAUGUAAAAUUAGCUAUUUAGCCAACUCCUGGUUCAUUUACAUUUAAGUCUAAUUGCAAUGUUGAUUAAUGUGCAUUGUCUCUAGUAAAUAAAAAUAUUAAAAAAAAUCUAUUUAAUAGCAAUCACAAUCUAAAUUGCGAUCUUUUUUCUCAAUUUUUAAAACGCCCUGUGGACUUGAUGUAGCCAAUGAAUUUCUCCAUUUGUACCACUUAA